rnacentral:rRNA from 1 species
GAUCUUUAUUUUUAUUUUUUAUAAAUUAAUAAGAUUAAAAAUAUUUAUAAAUUAAUUAAAAAUUUUACUGGGGUGGUAUUAAAAUUUAAUUAACUUUUAUUUUUGUUUACAUUAAUAUAUGAAUUAUUGAUCCAAUUAUAUUGAUUAAAAAAUUAAGUUACCUUAGGGAUAACAGCGUAAUUUUUUUUUAGAGUUCAUAUCGACAAAAAAGAUUGC